UAUUGGUUAUGGUCAGUUUUAAACUAUAUCACUUGCCCUCACUUUCGAAGUCGAGUCAAUUUGUUGGCCCCAGUGACAAAAGUAGAAGAGUUGGUAAGGACAACCAACUGAGGCAUUCUAAAUUUGAGCAGCAUCUACAUUUAUCUGAGUGACAUCAUGAGUGGCCAGACUUUUGAUACGAUGAUAAGAUGAUCUGCUGAUUGCUAUCCUAACAAUGGUUUAAAGCCAAAUGGUGAGUCAACAGGUGCCCAA
rnacentral:lncRNA from 1 species